UUGUUUUGUUUGUUUUUUGUUGUUGUUUUGUUUUGUUUUUGUCUGUAUCAUAGAAUCAUCUAGGUUGGAAAAGACCUUCAAUAUCAUCAUGUUAGGGUUUUGACUGCACAUCAGUUCAACAGAGCCCAGGGAAAGUACCACUGCAUCCCAUCCUGUCCAUCCCAAACCAUUAGACAUAGUAAGAUCCCCUGCUUUAACACCUCCCUUUCCUCUAGCUUGGAAUAUGUGACUCUCUACUCGCUGUGACUAUCCCUGUCUUCACAGGUAGGAAAUGUCAGCAACAGCUGCUCCUGCCCUACCUUUCCAUUAAUCCUGCUUUCCAGUUUUUGUACCCCAACAAGUAAAGAGGCGCAAGGCAGAGAGCCCAACUGCGCAGCCAGACAGAGGAGAGAGGCAGGUAGGUAGUGGGGCCUUAAUUUGAUUAGAUUGCCAUGGACCUCCAAAGGUCCUUUAGCAGAUCACGAGGGGUGUGUGGAUGAGUCCUUCUAGACUAUUUAUUAUUUUGUCUCCUUCUCUAUGUCUCAUUUUUAUUUGUCUCAUUCCUAAGGGAAACAACUCCAACCUUAUCAAUCUCCCUUGAUAUGAGAGCUUUCCUCUGCUCCAGUCAUGUUUGUCACCCUUCCCUGAACCCUUUUUAAUUCUCUUGUUAUUACUUUGAACAAAGAUGGAUGGAACAGCAGAAGCAGUUCUCCAGCCGCACAACUUAUGAACUGCAGAAAAACAGGUCAAGGCUAGGCUGAACUCUGGAGCAGCUCUAGUGAGGUCAGCAGAGUCACCUCAGGAAUGAAUGUACUCCUCUUCAGUUCGGUUUCUAGCCAAGUUCAGUUUCCUUAGUAUUGCUCAGGCUGUGAAAAACAAGAGUUACUGACAACAGGUUGUCCAUACUGCAUGCUGCUGAAGUUUUGUCAAAUACAUUUUAUCUGGAAAUGUGGAUAUUGGAUAUGCACGAGCUGGACUGAGCAUUGUAGCAAAAUCACGUCUAAACCUCUCCAUACAGAAUUGCAAUGCCUGACCAGAGGAAUGAUAUGGCCAUCUCAGGCUCCUGCUCAGAUCAAAAAAGAAGGGACAAGUAAUCUACUACAAAUUAAUUAGGGACAUGCCUUUUAUUCCCAUGGCUUGUGUCACACAGUGUUGUCUAAAACAGUUUAGAUCUUCUCAUUCUCCAUACAAAGACAUUUCCUUGCUUUUACUUUUACUAAAUCCUUCAUUUUGAUGCAUUAAUCAAUACCAUAAAUUAAUAAUGCACUACUCAGGAUGUGCUGCUUUUCACUUCCAUUUAAUAUUGUCUUGCUUUGGCAUUAUGUGGAAGAAUAAAUAAGAGACCUUGAUUUUCUGUAACAUUUAUUAUUUUGUGCCUCUUCCACUCCAUAUAGACUCUAUUCAUACAUUUACUUUUUCAUAUGCUUUCUGAAUCAAGCAGCUGUGGUCCCUCCAUCUCUAACAGAAGUAUUUCCAGGCUUUUAGCUGACGUACCUUGGCGUGGCAAGACUCUGCUUUGUCCAGCUACUGAGUAACAUAAAGGAACCCCAGUGCAAUACAGCCAACCUCCCAUUAAGUAUAACAAUGAGUCAUCUUUGUGUAAGUUCUUGGGCCUUAGUGACUUUCAACCAGAGAGACAAAUGUAGAGCAGUAUCUUUGGUGGUGUCAUCCUUCCUACCACCCCAUAGUCCUUGCUGUGCUCAAUCUGAACCCAGAGCAGCUGACAGUGGCUGUUCCCACUUCUUCUCAGCUCCAGGGACCCCUUUCAUCCAUCAGUCUAAGGGCACUGUGCAAAAAGAGUAGGAUGGAGCCACAAUCAGGUGAAGUGAACUGAGACAGGCUACGUAGCAGGGCAUGUUGGAAUAACUCAUCGCUGGUCUAUCUCACAGCUAUACUUUCAUACCCUGGGCCUGCAAGGUCUUCCCUCAGGCAGAUGUUUUCAACUUGGCAGUGACUAUAAUUGCAUUUGUGUUAGGGUUACAUGGUGCAACGCAGUGAUUUGCAUUCUGAAGACACCUGCAGAGUCAACAUUAAUAGCGAAGUAACCAGCAAAAGGCAAAGCAGAUAGCUGGUGAUAUGUGUGUUAGUGCUGAGCUCAGAGAGGUUUCUGAUGUCUUGAAUUUCUUCAUCAAAAGCCAAGCCAAAAGGCUGAGAGUUGUCCAGUUUCAUGGAACAGGUCCAGAUUUUAGGAACCCCUGCAGACAUCCUGCUCCCCAGCCACAGUCACAGCCUUGGCUCCCUCUACCUGCAUUGUUCCUGCUGGAGCAGCCUCAUCUUCCCCACCACCGAGCUGGGCUGGGCUGGGCUCAGGGCCACUGCUUUGAGUUCUGCCUUCCUUCUCCAGUGAGGCAGAGAGCAAAAGGCUGUGCAGACACAACCUGCCUGUCCCCAGCUGGACUGGGCUGAAUAAGAGCAUGCCACAGAUCUCUGCAAGGCUUGCAGUCAUGUCCAGUGAAAAGGAUAUUCGUGAAUUCUCACUUUAAAUCCCAUUCCAUUUCAAUAAUGCUGUCCCCUUGAGAUUUUUUUUCAGUACCUGCAAACCUGCCAGGUUUUUUAACGUACAAAUAGGAGCAUUUAGUAAGAAAACAGGGACAUGGUUUUAACUCUAUCGAAAUACAUCUGAUAGAAAGAGCUUUUAGGAGAAAAAGAAUUGAAAAGAUUCACUGCUUUUAAAGAAUGGUUAAAACCUAUCUUUCAUUACAGCAAGACCUAGGACGAAUGGCUUUGAUCUCUCAAUAUUAUCCGAGCAAAGCCAGUUAAUACCUGCUUCUAGAGUAGCAGCAUUUGCUUUUGUACAGAAUUCUUUAAAUGACUUCCAGGGCCAUUAGAGUCAAUUGUAAAACACCACUGCGUUUACCUAACCAGAAUUUCCCCAGCAGAUCAGGCCACAAAAGGCUUUAGAUGUUGCAACACUGAGUGUUGCAAUUCUGAACUUUUAGCACUUGUAGCCAGCUCCAUCCCACUAACUUUGAGAACCUGAGCCAGGAAUGUAAUCUUGCUAUGCUCCUCUGAAGUCAGUGGAGAACUCCCGAGAACAGUUUCUGGCUGACUGUUACACAGGAUGAACCCAAGAUCUUGGCGCCUGCUGAAAUACCCAGCCCUGGGUAUGUAUCUGGGCUCCCAUUGAAUACCUGGAGACACCCACAUGCCUCUGGAUGGGAUAUAGGAGCCACGAGGACACCCAUCUGGGUCUGUGGGAGCCUGGCCUCCACUCUCUUCCCCUCUCAAGGCAAUUUUAACUUAAAUCUUAUUGUGGCCAACAGACUAAAGCUGGGUGAUGCUCUCAACGUUUCUCCAGAUAAUUUGUUACUACUUUCAGCUCUCUACCAUAUGAAUCCUAUGGGAAAGUCCAGUGACUGCAAAUAAAGAGAAUAGCCUGGAUUCGUUUAAAAAACUAAGGUUUUGUGAAAGACUGGGUAGAAGCUAGACAAAAUAAUAUGAGGACCAGCAUUCAAGUGAAUGGAAAAUGACGUAUUUUAAACAAGGAAACAGCCCAAGGAAAAUGAAACAUCAACAUAAAACAUUGAAUUUUUUAAAAUGGUCAGGGAAAAAAAAUAAAAAGGGGAAAAGAAAAACAAUACAAGAACUCAGAAAACAGAAAAAUUGUAGAAAAGGAGAACCAUCGAGGCCAGCAACUAACAAAAGAAGCUUCUGAAAAGCAUUUUCAUGUAUUUGUGUGCUGGAAAUGGACAGUAUUCUGUUCAUUUA